AGGACGAACGCUGGCGGCGUGCCUAAUACAUGCAAGUCGAACGGUCUUUCUAUGGAAGCUUGCUUCCACUGAGAAGAUAGUGGCGAACGGGUGAGUAACACGUGGGUAACCUGCCCAUAAGAGGGGGAUAACAUCCGGAAACGGGUGCUAAUACCGCAUAGUUUUCUUGAUCGCAUGAUCGGGAAAGGAAAGACGGCCUUUGUGCUGUCGCUUAUGGAUGGACCCGCGGCGUAUUAGUUAGUUGGUGAGGUAACGGCUCACCAAGACGAUGAUGCGUAGCCGACCUGAGGAGGGUGAGUCGGCCACAGUUGGGACUGAGACACCGGACCCAACUCCGUACGGGAGGCAGCAGUAGGGAAUCUUCCGCAAUGGACGAAAGUCUGACGGAGCAACGCCGCGUGAGUGAAAGAAGGUUUUCGGAUCGUAAAACUCUGUUGUCAGAGAAGAACAAGUUGGAGAGUAACUGCUCCAGCCUUGACGGUAUCUGACCAGAAAGCCACGGCUAACUACGUGCCAGCCGCCGC
rnacentral:rRNA from 1 species